rnacentral:rRNA from 1 species
UACGUAGGGUGCGAGCGUUAAUCGGAAUUACUGGGCGUAAAGCGUGCGCAGGCGGUUAUUUAAGACAGAUGUGAAAUCCCCGGGCUCAACCCGGGGCCUCCAUUUGUGACUGUAUAGCUAGAGUUCGGUAGGGGGGGGUGGAAUUCCGCGUGUAGCAGUGAAAUGCGUAGAUAUGCGGAGGAACACCGAUGGCGAAGGCAAUCCCCUGGACCUGUACUGACGCUCAUGCACGAAAGCGUGGGGAGCAAACAGGAUUAGAUACCCUGGUAGUCCACGCCCUAAACGAUGUCAACUGGUUGUUGGGUCUUCACUGACUCAGUAACGAAGCUAACGCGUGAAGUUGACCGCCUGGGGAGUACGGCCGCAAGGUUG